UACAGAGGUGGCAAGCGUUGUUCGGAAUUACUGGGCGUAAAGGGCGUGCAGGCGGUCUGUUAAGUUCAGGGUGAAAGCUCCCGGCUCAACUGGGAGAGGUCCUUGGAUACUGGCAGACUUGAGGGAGGUAGAGGAGAGUGGAAUUCCCGGUGUAGUGGUGAUAUGCGUAGAUAUCGGGAGGAACACCAGUGGCGAAGGCGGCUCUCUGGGCCUUUCCUGACGCUGAGACGCGAAAGCGUGGGGAGCGAACCGG
rnacentral:rRNA from 1 species